CACGUAGGGGCCAAGCGUUGUCCGGAUUUAUUGGGCGUAAAGAGCUCGUAGGCGGUUGGGUAAGUCGGGUGUGAAAACUCCAGCUCAACUUGGAGACGCCACCCGAUACUGCUCUGACUUGAGUUCGGUAGGGGAGUGGGGAAGUUCCUGGUGUAGCGGUGAAAUGCGCAGAUAUCAGGAAGAACACCCGUGGCGAAGGCGGCUCUCUGGGACGGUACUGACGCUGAGACGCGAAAGCGUGGGGAGCGAACAGGG
rnacentral:rRNA from 1 species